rnacentral:rRNA from 1 species
AACGAACGCUGGCGGCAGGCCUAACACAUGCAAGUCGAACGUGAAGCAGGAGCUUGCUCCUGUGGAAAGUGGCAGACGGGUGAGUAACGCGUGGGAAUCUACCCAGCUCUACGGAAUAACGCAGGGAAACUUGUGCUAAUACCGUAUACGUCCUCCGGGAGAAAGAUUUAUCGGAGUUGGAUGAGCCCGCGUUAGAUUAGUUUGUUGGUGGGGUAACGGCCUACCAAGACUACGAUCUAUAGCUGGUCUGAGAGGAUGAUCAGCCACACUGGGACUGAGACACGGCCCAGACUCCUACGGGAGGCAGCAGUGGGGAAUAUUGCACAAUGGGCGCAAGCCUGAUGCAGCCAUGCCGCGUGAGUGAAGAAGGCCUUAGGGUUGUAAAACUCUUUCACCGGUGAAGAUAAUGACGGUAGCCGGAGAAGAAGCCCCGGCUAACUCCGUGCCAGCCGCCGCAGUAAAAC